rnacentral:sRNA from 1 species
CAGGACAGGUACAGCACAGGCAGUGACAGUGCAAGCUUUCCCCACACCACCACGUCCAUGUGCCUCAACCCUGACCUGGAGGGACAACCUCUAGA